GGUUGUGAGAGCGACCUGUCACCACACUGAUCGCUAGGAUUGAUUAGGCUGACCUGUCUGGCCAGGGAGAAGCUCCUUUCUCCCAUCCAUCACUACUCCAUGUGUGACCCUCCUGAAGGCUGCACUCUCAGUAGAAAACAACCACUCUCAAAAGAGCAGGACCAUUUCAUCAGUCAUGGAACACAGACCAUUUUGUCUGUGUUCCUCUUCUAGAACCUCCAAAAAACAAAACAAAAUUUAAAAAUCUUGCCAACUUGAAAUGAUAAUUAACAUUUUAAUUUCCUCUGUACUUUUACACAGUGAAAAU
rfam:Cavia porcellus supercont2_27 genomic scaffold, whole genome shotgun sequence.